UCUUGAAAACGGAAAAUAAAAACAGCAGACCUAUGAAGGUCAAAGGGGAAGUUAAGAAAAGCUGUAUCGAUUGUUGAGAUCUGGCGACUUGCUUAAAUUUCAUCAGCCUCACUUCUAUGGACUCUCAGGACAAACUGCAAUAGAGUCGCAUCCAGUUGAGACUUCUCCAAGGGCCGUGGGGUUGACAUCUGUGGUCUCAGGCCUCACGUGUACCAGCUCUCUGCUCUCCUUUGCCUUGGGACGUUCCAUCCCUGGAAGUUUCCCUGCCCACAUCUUUGUAGAGAGUCCAUUCUCCAAGCUUCAGUGUGUCAUCUGUUAGGACUAUGACCCACCUGGUACAUUACCUCAGGGCAUUCAUUUCAGGCUCCUUCUAAGUGGUCAAGGAUCAGAGGGAAACAGACCAUUUUCUAUUGUGACAAAGGGAGAACCCAGGAAAGGGGCAGUGUUUUUCCCCUCACAGGUGAUGGAGUUUGUAUAAAGAAUGCAGUGGAUAAUGGCAGGCUUGUCCUCUGAACAGAUGGUGAUGGUCUUGUU
rnacentral:lncRNA from 1 species